rnacentral:rRNA from 1 species
GACGAACGCUGGCGGCGUGCUUAACACAUGCAAGUCGAACGGAAAGGCCCUGCUUUUGUGGGGUGCUCGAGUGGCGAACGGGUGAGUAACACGUGAGUAACCUGCCCUUGUCUUUGGGAUAACUUCAGGAAACUGGGGCUAUUACCGGAUAGGAGCUCCUGCUGCAUGGUGGGGGUUGGAAAGUUUCGGCGGUUGGGGAUGGACUCGCGGCUUAUCAGCUUGUUGGUGGGGUAGUGGCUUACCAAGGCUGUGACGGGUAGCCGGCCUGAGAGGGUGAACGGCCACAUUGGGACUGAGAUACGGACCAGACUCCUACGGGCGGCAGCAGUGGGGAAUAUUGCACAAUGGGCGGAAGCCUGAUGCAGCGACGCCGCGUGCGGGAUGACGGCCUUCGGGUUGUAAACCGCUUUCGCCUGUGACGAAGCGUGAGUGACGGUAAUGGGUAAAGAAGCACCGGCUAACUACGUG